rnacentral:hammerhead_ribozyme from 1 species
AUCUAGCUGACGAGUCUCAAAUAGGACGAAACACGUGUCUUGGAU